UUGGUCAUGAUGGUCUUGGUAGGUUCGGGUGUAGAUUGAUCGAUGUACCCAUAUAGCCCAGCCCCCAUGAUUUGGGAGCGAGGUUGGGCUUUCUAGAGGACAUAGUUGGUUCGGCUGAGAGGCUCGAAUGUGGUGUAAUUGAGGCCAAGGGAAGAGACUUGGGUGGAGGAGGACAUGGCAGCUCAAGGUGAAAGAUGAAGGUUGCAGUGGUGAGGGGUCUGCUAGAUGUGAUGGAAGAAGGAGGCUUUGUAUACCAUGUCAAGAUGGGUAAAGCGUCUCAACUCUCCUGGUGGAGAGCCCACAUGUUAUAUAUUCAUAGGAUGGGGCUUAUCCCAUAAAUGCAUACAUUUGAUUGUUACAAUUGUGCAUAGUACGUUGAGAGAAAGAGAGAUACAUGGAGAUUUACAGGAGAUAUUAAAGGAGAGUUAAAGAAGAGAGUUACACUAAUAAAUACAAGCAUCAAGUUCAAAUAACCUAAUCGUGUACGUUUAAUCUUGAUGUUUAACAAUGAUCUGUAUAUAUGCCUGAUAUUGCUACAAGGUUGAUGUCUUGUGUUGUUUGAAAUGUUGUCAGGUAUUUGGAAUGAAGGUUGUCAAUUUGUUUAUCUGUUUUUUGUUUGAACCAAGCUUGACGAGACUGUUUGAAAUGUUGUCCUUUGCUCCUGUCCCCCCUCCCCCUAAACAAAAAAAAAAACGGGUUUUGUUUACAUGGGCCUAAUCAACUUGCUUAUUACUGAUCCACUUUGUCAACCAUUAAUAAUCAUGAUUAGAUCUUAGUGGGCUCCGUUUGUUAGCCCAUUUAUGUAUGUGCUGUGAUGUAGUGACCAUUAUUCAUUGCUAAGCAUGGACCUUAAAGAGAUACGUCAAGGAUGACGCAAAAACCAUUAUAAUCUAAACAAAUAGCUUAUCUCUCAUUUAGACUCAUAAAGCUUUUAAGUAAACUCGAUUUAUAUGAUCUAGGUCGGGUUAAGUGGUAGCAGUGUGCUCAUGGAUCCCCUCUUCUCCUCCACUUAAGCCACUAAUCUCAUUACAUGGCAUUAACUGUCAUGAACUCAUGAUAAUGUACUUCCAUCCAUAGGAUAAUCUUAUUCUUUGCCAGUGUGUGUACAGUGUCACAUACAUGCUUAAACAUGGCACAACCUUAAUUUUCUAUCUGUCGCAGAGACAAAGUGUACUUGUUAGCAGUAAUAACCAAGGAAAUCAACAUCAUCUCUAAAUCCUCAGGAACUCCUUGAAUUUCUUUAAUGUGCAUGCUUAGCAGGCUGGCCCAUUUUUUUUUCCAGCUCCCCUCUUCUUCUACUUAAUCCUGCAAAGAUAUACUGACACAACUUGCAGUGGAUUUAACUAAUUAAAUAACCUAUGCAUGAUGGGUGAGCUGUGCUUGUGUAUACAAUUAGGCCAUCUUGCCUGUCUGAUCUGUGGAUUAAUCUCUGGACCAAAGCAUUGACUUGCAUCCCAUCAUUGCCAGUACAUCAACAAAUCAGAAGCCCCCUCCCCUUUCCUGCUGCAUGUUCUUGGCUCACUUAUUUAAUCAGCAGCAUAUUUUGCACAUCCCCAUUCUUUAAUCAUUCGCCGAAAACAUUUUCAAAUUUAAAUAUUUUAAAAAACCAUCCUAUUAAUCUAGAAGAUGUGAUAAGGGCAGGAAAGUCCUCCUCUUGCAAGUCAGGGAGCUGUUCUCAGUUCUCACUGGGGACAGAAGAUUCCUCCCAUCCUUCCCUUUGAGAAGAAAUGCGCAUUAGUUUAACCGGUGGUGCAUAAUGUAUUGUGCAAGAUGCUGAGUUUGUAUGGAGAUUAGGUGUUUGUCCACAUGCAACUGUGCCCAAGUCAAUUAGGUUUUCUUCUGGUUUUAUAGGUGUCGGCUAAUUUCAAAGAGGGAGAAAUCUCUAGGCUUUGAUUCUUUCUUUCUUCUUUUUGUUCUCAUCAGCAUCAGCAAAUCCCCUUGUUUGGUGCUGAUGAGAUUAGGGUGACCUUGAGCUCACAUGGAGCCGCCCCGUUUUGUAGGUCAUUGCCGCGUAUUAAAAUGCGGCGAAGAGAAAGAUAGGACCUCAUGGCGUAUGAUUAGUCAAUAAUCACCCCUCUAGUCAAGGAAAUUUACAGAUCAGAAACUUUGCUGAUAUGUGUGUCUUGGCAAAUAGUAUGCUGCGUACAUGCUAGAUCAUGCUCUUUCUUUUUGGUUCCCGUGUCGAGAAGAACCAAAUGGAUGGAUGUUCUGCAAAACAGAAACCUUGUGGGCUCAUGCAGAGAAUCAGCAAGACACUGUAAAAUUCUGAAUCCGAAGACUUUGCACGAGUCCCAAAGCAAAGCGGUUAUCGCGCAAACCAAAUGGUUGUAUGUUCUGCAGAACAGAAACCUUUGUGGAUUCAUGCAGGGAAUGAUGUCAAGAGGCGAAGGACAUUGACAACUUCCAAACUUGAAUGAAGACUUUAGGUUGUUGUGCAUGAGCCAAAACUUGUCUUUCUGUUCAUCUGUCACUAUAGACAGAGUCUUUGUUUUUCAUGGGUGAGGAGCUUGAGCAGAGAUAAAGAAAAAGGGGGUUAGAGUCACACCCACACUAAGAUUUCCUGAAAACAACUGGUGUGCACAAAGGACAAAGUCUCGAGACAUGCAUGGUGAUGUGAGCUGCCAAACUGAAGCAGGUAGCCACUCUGCAGCUUAGCAUAUAAUCUCAGUCCUACUAACCAUAUGCCAUAUGGAGUGCCAUUCACCGACAGACAGCUGGUGAACACUUGUACUCUUCGUAAACGAGCACACGAAAACAGGUCGAUUCGCCUCGAUGAAUAUUACGAGUGGUGCCAUUGUGCCAACUCAGUCUGUUCCAGAACUUGGUGAAUGUGAAAGAAAAAAAAUUAUGGUUGGCAUCCAAGUCCCUCAUCAUGGCUAACCUGUGUCAGAAAGGUCCUUGUUUAUGGAUGCAUUUCAUCUCUUCUUGAUACUUGCAGUGCAAAUCCUUCUGGAUCCUGACUGUUCUGUCUCUUCCUGGCCUUCGUAAUGAUUGACAUUUGGAAGAGGCCUUGUCAUUGAUGAUUAAUCCAAGAGCCCGUUUCAUUGCAAGAACAGCUCAUGUCAAUGCUCCACCCGUAUCAUUGGUGCACAAAGUCUGACCUUCAUCGCGCCGAUUAUUGGAUAAUAGUGUUUUCUUACUACGCAAAUUUGAUCAUCCGAAGAGGGCGGCACAUUCUCGGAUUAUCAGCGCUCGCGUUUAUCUCAGAAUGCUCUCUAAAUUUUAAGUCCAGUAAAACUCAGAAGAAAAUAAACAAACUGUUGAUGAUCCAAGUGACCUAUCAUAUAAAUAAUCGCCGAUUAGAGAAACAUCCCAGUUACUGACUCGAGAACAAAAUGUGUUCCGAGUGCCAGCGAGCAUCCUUCCAUCCACACAAUCAUUAGCCCGAGGCCAAAACCGAGUGAAUAACCCUCGAGAAUCUUUGAGGAAGGAGGUGACAUCCUCUGACCAAGCCUCCAAGCUCAUGAUCUGAACCAUGUGCAGCCAUUACCAACUCAAUUCCACGGGACUAAACUAAGCCGGGCAGCGAAAUGCAGCAGCCCUUUAAAUCACAGGGUGCACAUGGAGCCUGGGGGAAGAAGUCCUAGCGCUGCCACUACCUCUGCUGCUGCAACAGCUCACAUUCUUGUCUUGUGGGACAGAAGAGGAGGAGAAAGCUUAGGGGGUAUAUCAGAGGAAGGAGAGGGGAGGCGGCAUCGAUCGAUGGGGUGCCGGUCCUGCGACAAGCCCAAGAUGAACUACAGGAAGGGGCUGUGGUCUCCUGAGGAGGACCAGAGGCUGAGGGACUACAUCCUCAAGCACGGCCUCGGCUGCUGGAGUGCUGUUCCUGCAAAAGCUGGUGAGCUCCCUCUCUGUCUCUGAAUGUAGGAGUGAUUAGUUGAUACUUCUUUCCCCUUUCAUGCAUGGAAAUUGCUCCAUGCCAAUGCUUGCAGAAACAGCUUAUGGCUGAUUGUGAAUCAUAGUCUACUAGUCCAGUAGCAUUAGCAAUAAUUUGAUCAACCUGCAUCGUUUUCAAUGGUUUUGUUUGUAUUUAUCUUGGAGUUCUACUUGGAACCUUACAUCCAUGAUCCAGCUCUAGUCUUGACAUAUUUAAAAAAAAAAUCAAUAUACUCUGCUAUUUAGCACCAAUGCACCUACAAAGAGCUAAUUGCCUAGAAAUCUGUUUGACCUUCACAUGAUCCAAGCUUGAACAUAGUCCCCAUGUCAGUCAAGAACUCAAAAUUCUAGCACAAAAUGUGAUGUGGCAAUUUGAGCUAGUUGCCUAGUAGUAUCUCUGAAACACUUCUUUUUACCUGAAUUAUGCCUGAAUUUGUUGUGCUCUGUGUGUUUGUUUGGUAACUCGCAGGUCUGCAGAGGAAUGGCAAGAGCUGCCGGCUGCGUUGGAUCAACUACCUGCGGCCCGGAUUGAAGCGCGGGAUGUUCUCUCAGGAAGAGGAGGACGUUGUCAUCAACCUCCAAGCCAAGUUGGGCAACAAGUAAGGAAUCCUCACCUAAACAUCUCGAAAACUUGAGAACAAUACAAAACAAAAAACCAAAAUUCCGACUACACAAACAAAAAUCAACUGAAUUUUGAAAUCAAAACCCCUUCGAAAGCGGCAUGUUUCGCGGCGAAAAGAUGACACAAUUCAGACUUGGUUUUCCAUGGCGCUGAUGGUCUGAGAUCUCUGUUCUUUGGUCAGGUGGUCGCAGAUCGCGAUGCAUCUGCCGGGGAGGACGGACAACGAGGUGAAGAACUACUGGAACUCGUACCUCAAGAAGCGGGUGAUGCAGCUGGGCUCCAACUCCAGCUCCAACCCGGCCAGCAAGAACGCCUCGCCGGAGCUGCUCACCUCCAUGAGCGCCACCACCGAGCUCAUCAUGACCAGCGGCGGCGGCGGCGGCGGCGGCAGCACGGCGACGUCGACCCACGACCACGACGCCAACAUCAGCAGCAGCGGCGCCAUCUCGGCCGCGGAGCCGUUCGUCGACCAGCACGAGCACCAGCACCACCACCAGCAGCAGGCCAAGAACUUCGUCUUCGCCGACUGGAUGCCGACUGCCGCGGUGACGCCGGCGGGGCCGGAGAGCUACUCCAUGUCCGCGCACUGGCCCGCCUCCACGGCCAGCUCCGGCAACGUGACGCCGUCGCACGGCGCCUUCGUCGGGGACCAGAUGAGCGGCAGCAGCUACGCCGCGCUGCAGCACCCGCACCAGCACCACCACCACCAGAGCGCGGUCACCGUGGCGGGCGCUCAUGCCAGCGCCGGCGGCAUGGUCGCCGGAGGCGGCUACUUCGACCUGCUCAACAUGGGCGACAUCUACGGGGGGUUCAGCACGACGAACGACGAUCUGCUCUUCUGAAGCUCAGAGCUAAAAUUCUGAUGAUGCCGUGACCCCUGUGCAUGUGUGACAAACAAAAUUUGUUCUUUGUGUUCAUGUUGUCUAUGAAAAAUGGAAAGAGGUGGGUAUACUGCUUGAUUAAUUUGAUUCUUCUUCUGUAAGGAAAAGUUUAAAUGUGAUCAUGUUAAUUAGAGGGAAUUCCCCUUAGGUUGGACAUAAUUCUUUCGUUGUUGUUUUCCCCGCAAUAAAAAGGCGUAUCGAUUUGUAUCGUGUAAAGUGCAAAUGUGAGCUCAAUUGUAAUAGAUUUGGUAAAUUUUAGCAAAUAUUCGUCCCAGGGGUAAAUUUUAACAAGUUAUGAUGUUGAACUACACUUUAUCUACCCAUGUGAGUGGAGAAAAUGUAUGAUUGUAAUGUCUUGCCAUCUUAAUUAUGAGAUUGAAUUAUGCUCGAGUGCUUCCUAAAAGCAAAGAUAAAACUUUUAAAAAGCCAAGGUCAGUUGGAAAUUUUCUAAGAAAUAUAGCUAGCAAAAAGAAGUCAACUGAAAUUUCCUACUCCUAAAUUCUUAUGAAAUUUCAAACUGUGCCUUGGCAAAUUGUGGCCUGAAACAAACAGGAAUUAAAUCAUGCACAGCUCAGUGCUGCUCCAAGAGUUCUUGCAUUCAAAGAAUAUGGACUUGAACUCAGUGGAGUUGAUACAGAAAAGGCAGUAAUAAAACACCAACAUUUCAUAGAUGUUCAUUCUAAAGUAAACCUUACACAGAUGUUGUAAAACUGUGUAACCUUACAUGCUUAACUCUAGUAGAUAUUCUCGCCAAAGGAGAGAGGUAUAUAGAUAGCACUCUGAUUUUCUCGUUACAUAUAAUGUGAUACUACAAUGACAUGGAUGACAAAGGAACAAAAGGGCAAACAGGAACUUAGUUCUUCUUGCGAGAAAAGUGGUUGUCGUUCGGAUUCCGUUUCCCGCUGAACAUUGCGAGCGCCUUCCUUACUGGAGGUUUCAGCUCCACCUUCUUCUCGCCGCUGUGCGUGAAUAUGUCCUCAGCGCCCAAGAAAUCAUCCCCCUGUAGCAAACAGCAAUGGUUAUGAGAGUUGUUCCUCUAAGAACUAGCUGAUAUACUCUGUGCCAGUAGAAGAGGGAACAGAGACGCCAUGAUAGUAUAUAAAACUAACUUAUGGGUGUUUAUGGAAUUAACAUCUCAAAAUUAUGUGUCCUUGUCAACACGAUGGUGUAAAAACUAGCAGGGGUACUGACCAGCUUGCUUGACUUCUUCGAUUUAGGAUGCAGAACCUUCUGGGGAAGUUGGUCUUCACGUAAAAUGGGAUUCUUAAUGACGGCAUCUCUUCCACCUUGGGGCAUUGGAAGGGAAAACUGCAAAGUAAACAGGCAAUUAAAAACAACAUCAUCAAUGUCACUACAUGAAUCAACCAAAGCAAAGGUUAGGCGCAGGGAAAAGUUUUAACCAAAGUAUCCAGAAAAAGACAUGAAAUGAACAUGAAGGCACACAUGGAAAAUCAUCACUGCAAGAUAUUUACAGUCUGCUUCAGCAAAGAGAGAUCAGAUGUCUCUAACAAAUAUCAAGGCGUGCAUAUGGAACUGUUGAAAAGCUCCUGGCAGAGUUCUGGGUAUUCAUCACCAUUGAUUCUAAAAAGCACAAUUCUUCACUGAACGUCAUGGAAAGAAAUAUGCAGAUGUUCUAUGAUAAACUUAUCACAUGUGUAAUUAUUUUAAUUUCUUGGAGAACAGUGGAACAUACAGGGAAGAGGGAACAAUUAACCAGAGCUCACACACUUAAUCACAGAAGUGACAGAACAAAAGGUCUAGGGAAUAGAAAAAAGAGAGCAUUAAGUGUGUAGUUAACCAGACUCACUUUUGUGCCUCGGAGAGUAACACGCGGGCGCCGUGAAGCCAUAGUGAUCCCAUUUUCACCAACUGUUACUGAAACCUUUCGCAAGGUGCCACCAUUGCCACACUUUGGACAGAAUAUUUUUCCAAUCUCUUGUGUCACCUUGUAGCAAGCAUGACACCUCAGAACCCACCUGGCCAAUCAGCACCAACACAUGAGAGACAGAUAAGAGUGUGCAAGCUUCUAUACAUAGUAUAGAAUCUAAAUGGCUGUAGAGUGGUAAAAGAGAUGCGAAAAUGUAAAAUUCACAUACCUGUGCAACUGCCGUAUUUGCAUGCCACCUGGUGCCAAGAGACGGAGACCAAUCUGGAGGAUAACGUUUUGCAUGGCAUAGUCACUAGUAACACACGCUACAGUAGAUUCAGAUAAGGACCUCAGGGCCCAACUCUGCUCACUGCUCUCAUCAUCGACAAAAGAUGCACUCACACCUUCCUCUGUCCCACUUUUUAUAUCCAAAUUAUCCAAUUGUUCAGUGCAUGCAUCAGUAUCAUUUCUGCCCUCAACAGUACCAGUAUUGCCUACCACAUUCUCCCCAUUAGCUAGUUGAUCUCCAACAAUUUUGGGUUCAUCCUCUUCCGGAAAUUCCAAGCUGUCAGUAUUUGACCUUGUUUUCUCUGGAACAACAGAAGGGCCAUCCACUGAAUCCAAACCAUUUUCAGACAAGUUAUCUUCAUCGACUGAUGGAGCAACAGAACUUGUCUCAAAACCUUGUUCAGAUGCCUUGAGGGCAUCACGCCUCGCUUUCCUCCGCAAAUAUUUUCUGUGCGUGGUGCGGCCAACAGCAGGCAACCAACCUUCAUUGUUCUCAUCAUCUUCCCAAGGAAUACAUGCAUCCUUCUUUGAAGGCUGAAACUCUUCACCGCCUUGUGUCUCAGAAAUACUGUUGGUCUCGCUUGUAGGGAUUUCUUGGUUCUCAAGAUCCUUCAGUGGGAGGAUCCGAGAAUUAAGAUCCCCGCCUGCCUCAGACAUCUUAUCCAAUGCUUCCCACUCUGCUAGGUUAGGCACAUUAGAGCCCCAGCCUGGCAGUGGUGCCUCUUGCAAGGUCCGGACGCUGACCACGUGAAGUGGAGGUGGCUGCUCCCGCAAAUGGCUGGUCCCAUGGACCUCAGCCUCCAACAUGUAUGCUAGAGCGAUAAUCUUCAUAUCAACAUCUGAAAGUGUCUGGAGAUCUCCUGUUUCCCUGGCAAACUUGACAACUGCAAGCAAUGAUGAUAUACAAAGUUAGUCUCACGACUCUCACCUAUGAAUAUGUGGUUCUUAGGCAAGAGAAAUUUUUACAGAGGCAUGGUAAUUCUAUUCUACAGAAGUAACUUCAAGACUAUGGACAAACCAAGAUAAUUUGACAGUAAAAUGCUACUUCUAUCGAACAGUAGUAACUUCCAGCAUACGGGCUACCAAAUGUCAACAUGUUGCAGUGGGAAAACAAACUAUAACAACUACCAAAUUCUAGCCAAACAGCAAGUAAUGCCGACUCCCAAAUGAUCUAUGGACAGCAUGAUAUCCACCAUCCUUUUAAACAGCACCCUGUUGCAUACUCAAGGUCACUCCAAACAACAAAACACUGAAUAAACACUACUUGAUGCCCAAUUUCUGCUAAUGACAAGUAAGAUAAAAAGAUGAAAACCAACCCAGUCACGCAAACCAUCAUCCUGUACAUCGUGCAACAUAAACUACCUAUAAUAACCUGGUAAAUAAUUCGAUGACGAAAAAUGAACUUUUUAGUCCAUGAAACCGCAGUGUUUUAGCUCUAUUCAGCAAAUGAAAGUGUCAGUAUGAAUGAAGCUCUGUGCGGGCUAAACAGUGGACCUUUCUUGACGAACUCGGGCGCGGGCUCGACGGUCUCGACGGGGGUGGGCAGGAGCGCCAGCCUCCGGCGCGCGGCGGCGUCGCGCACCUCCUCGAGCACCUCGGGCACGGUGACGAGCCGCCCCGCGGCGGAGGCCAGCGCGGCGCCGCCCGAGAUGACGGCGUUGGCGUCGACGACGGCCACGGCCAGGCCGCUCGAGUUGGCGCAGCUGGACACGAUCCGGCUCACGGCCUGCGCGGGCGACUCCUUGGCCACCGCCUCCCGCCGCGCCGUCGCGGCCGCGCCCCACGCCACGGGGCCACCGAGCGCUGCGCCGGGCGGUGGCGGGGGCGGGAAGGCCGCGUCGCCGGCCGCCGGGCCGAGGGCCGGCCACGCUUCUUCCAUCGCCGAGGAGGGAUGCGGCGGCGGGGGUGGCGGCGCGCUAGGGUUUUGGGGUUCCGAUUUUCCCUUUGCCCCCUUCUAUUUUGCCGCUAAAUAAGCUGCCGUUUUUACGCUCAACCCCCCACAACAGCGCUUAAUUCCACACUUCUCCCUGAGUGGCGCGGAUCGGGUUAGGGUGUGCGAAUAGUCGGAACAUGAGGGGCCUGUACGGAUAACAUCCAUCUCCACCCACGAUAUAACGGCCGGCAGACGGAGCCAUCCGCUCCCCUCUCCGCAUCCAUGGCCGCCACCAAACCCUAGCCGCUAACCCUAGCCUCGCCCGCCGCCCGCCGCCACCCCCCACCCCCUCCCCCNNNNNNNNNNNNNNNNNNNNNNNNNNNNNNNNNNNNNNNNNNNNNNNNNNNNNNNNNNNNNNNNNNNNNNNNNNNNNNNNNNNNNNNNNNNNNNNNNNNNNNNNNNNNNNNNNNNNNNNNNNNNNNNNNNNNNNNNNNNNNNNNNNNNNNNNNNNNNNNNNNNNNNNNNNNNNNNNNNNNNNNNNNNNNNNNNNNNNNNNNNNNNNNNNNNNNNNNNNNNNNNNNNNNNNNNNNNNNNNNNNNNNNNNNNNNNNNNNNNNNNNNNNNNNNNNNNNNNNNNNNNNNNNNNNNNNNNNNNNNNNNNNNNNNNNNNNNNNNNNNNNNNNNNNNNNNNNNNNNNNNNNNNNNNNNNNNNNNNNNNNNNNNNNNNNNNNNNNNNNNNNNNNNNNNNNNNNNNNNNNNNNNNNNNNNNNNNNNNNNNNNNNNNNNNNNNNNNNNNNNNNNNNNNNNNNNNNNNNNNNNNNNNNNNNNNNNNNNNNNNNNNNNNNNNNNNNCGCACGCACCUUCACAAGGUGCGACUGGCUCCCCCCUCCGAUGCUACCCCAGUCGUUGUCCGCCUAAUGUGCUUUGCUCAGGGUUCGUUCGUGGAUUGGAUUGGAUUAGAUCGCUGGUAGGGUUCGUUCGUUGGCCCGAUCUGGGCCUGGUUGACGUUGAGUAGCAGUAGCAGGAGCAGUGACCGUUCUCCAUUUCUGGAUUGGCCCUGGUUCCUCUGCCCCUCGAGGCUGGCGGUUGUUUUGCCGUGAUGAUUCCGCUAGGACGGUAUAUGAGCGACGGGUCCGCCCGCCGCGUGAUUAUACCCAAUCUGAGAAUAACAUCUGAGCAAGCACAACACCCUUCCUUCAGAGCGUUUCUUUGCUUCCAUGCACUUAAAUGUGCAGCGUACACUCCAGUUAUAUCUUGUGUUGUCUUGAUUUGUUUGCUGUGAUGAAUCACAGGGACGGUAUCUGAGCGAGGCGGCUCUUGGAAAAGGGCCUCCUUCCUUGAUUACACACCCUUAACUGAUCAUAAAUUCUGAGCAAAUGCACUCCCAUGGUUCCCAUCACUUUGUUUUGUUUUUGUUCUCUUGCAUUGAAAUAUUAAACAUAUGCUUACAAGACAUGUUGUGUGAACUUAAUUGUUUGCUGUGAUGAAUCACAAGGACGGUAUCUGAGCGAGGUGGGUCUUGAAAAAGGGCCUUCUUACUUGAUUACACACCCUUAACUGAUCAUAAAUUCUGAGCAAACGCACUCCCAUGGUUCUCAUCACUUCAUUUUGUUUUUCUUCUUUUUCAUUGAAAUAUUAAACAUAUGCUUGUGUGAACUUAAUUGUUUGCUAUGAUGAAUCACAAGGACGGUAUCUGAGCAAGGUGGCUCUUGUAAAAGGCCACCUUCCUUGAUUAUACACCCUAAACUGAUCAUAUAUUCUGAGCAAACAUAUUCGAAUCUGAAUUGGACAUAUCAACCAGUCAGUCGCUUUACAAUGUUUUUGUUUCUUUUGUCGUGCAACCUUUCUUGUUUGAAAUGUAAACCAUCUACUUCACUGGUUUCAUCGGGUGGUGCAUAAGUGUGACUAGCUUUUUUUUUGUUGCUGUGAUGAAUCGCAAGGACGGUAUCUGAGGAAGUUGGCUCUUGAAAAGGCCCUCCUUCCUUGAUUAUACAACCUAAACUGAUCUUAAUUUCUGAGCAAACACCCUUCCAUGUUUCUUUUUUGUUCUCUUGCAUUUGAAAUGGAAAGCAUGUACUUCGCUGUGUUCAAUGGUAGCAUGAGUAUGACUAGUUUACAUAGCUAUUUUGUGCUUGCAUGGUUGCUGUGAUGAAUCGCAAGGACGGUAUCUGAGUAAUUUGGCUCUUGAAAAAGGCCACCUUCCUUGAUUACACAUCCUAAACUGAUCAUAUAUUCUGAGCAGGCAUCUGAAAACAUGAAUUGACAAGUGAUCCACAAUCACCAAAGUGUGUCUUUACAAUGCCUUCUUCAUUUGAAGUGUAUAUCCUGCUUGAAAUGUAAAUCCAUAUGAUUUGCUAGGUUCAUGGGUUAUGUAACCUUCGUCUGCUUCUUUGUUUGCUGUGACGAAUCACAAGGACGGUAUCUGAGUAAGGGUGGCUCUUGAAAAAGUCCUCCUUCAUUGAUUACACAUCCUAAACUGAUCAUACAUUCUGAGCAAACAAUGGCAAACCUGAAUUCAAUGGCAAUCCACAUGCUCUUCUUGCAUUUUAGGCAGAAUUACAUGUUUUUUCGAUGUUUGGUAUACAUUAAAUAAUAUCUCACCUUGCCCUCAUUUGGUGUUUGCUUUGUCAUCCUUACAAUGUUUUGGCUCUUCAAUCAGUGAUUAAGCAUCCUAAACUGAUAAAAUAUUCAUUGCAAAGUGCUGUAAUUGAAUUAUAGAAGAACUAAAAUUUUGCUGUGAUCACAAGGACGGUAUCUGAGAAAGGUGUCUCUUAAAAAGUGCUCCUUCAUUGAUUAUACAUUCUGAACUGAUCAAAUUUUCUCAGCAAAUGGAUUUCAGACCACAACAGCCUUUUGUCAUUUGCACAUGUGUCAGCUUAAAGAACAAUAUAUUCUGCUUGUUAGUAGUGCCAUUAGAGUAUCUGUUUUGUUUCCCAGUUUUUGUGCUUCUUUGCUGUGAUGAGAUCAAAGGACGGUAUCUGAGAAAGGUGUACUUUAUAAAGUCCUCUUUCCUUGAUUAUACCUCCAAAACUGAUCAAAUUUUCUGAGCAACGAUGCGCGUAAACAAUUGUUGCAACUAAUAUUUUGUUGCUUGAAAAUACUAGGGAUCCAUUGUAUUCACCGUUUUAGUGUGGUGCUGUCCACCCAUUUAAGAAUCACUAUUACAGAAGUUAACAGAUAAUUCCUUUUAGUUUCCUUUUAGGGUUUGUCUAGGGCACAUCUAGAUGUGUAGUUAUUGCACAUCUAAGUGACACAAUCAAGUAUGGAAAGGAAAAGAAAAACCCAAAAGAAAAUUUCCACAUGAAUCUCUUCAUAAGAUGAAUGACAUAGGACUUAGAUGUGCAAUACUCAAAAACUGUUCCUUUUAUUAUUUCUGCUUGUUUGCUAUGAUGAGAUCACAAGGACAGUAUCUGAGAAAGGUGGCUCUUUAAGAAGUUACCCUACCUGAUUAUAAAUCCUAAACUGAUCAAAUUUUCUGAGAAAAUGUGCCUAUUAAGAAUGAAACAAUGAUUAUAAUAUUUUUGGUAACAAGGUUUGUCAGUAUCACUAUGUUCAUCAUAAAUACUUGUUGACUGUUCCUCUUUAUUUUAGUAGUGCCAUCAGAAAAUUGUGUGUUUCUGGACAAGCUCACCACCUCUUGAUUUCUGUGUUGUUCAUAUAACUUAUUUUGUCCAUAUCCUUUAUGGGUUUUCGGCACUUUGUCCAACUCCGUUUGCUUUAGUUAUGUUUUAUGGCUUCAAUUUGAACAGCUGUCCCUUUCUCACCUGCUUUAUUCUGUGUUACUAGGAUGAACCAUCACCUUGAAAGUGGUGAUUACCAGAAGCUAUUCUGUAGGAAGAUGGAAUCUGCUGAGCUCCAGACUCCACUUCUACAUGGUCUUCCGGACGAGAUCGCUCUUCUUUGCCUGGCAAGGGUUCCUCGCAAGUAUCACAAUGCUCUUAGAUGUGUCUCGAGGGGAUGGAAGGCAUUGUUAUGUAGUGAAGAGUGGCACUCUUACCGCAAGAGGAACAACUUGGAUGAGUCCUGGAUAUAUGUGAUUUGUAGGGGUACAGGCUUCAAAUGCUAUGUUCUUGUUCCUGACCCUACGACCCGGUGCUUGAAAGUCAUCCAAGUCAUGGAACCUCCAUGCUCAGGGCGGGAAGGCGUUUCCAUAGAGACCUUGGACCGGAGGUUAUUUCUCAUGGGGGGUUGUAGUUGGCUAAAGGAUGCUACUGAUGAAGUGUAUUGUUAUGAUGCUGCUUCAAAUCACUGGAGCAAAGCAGCACCAAUGCCUACUGCUAGGUACUCCAGCUUCAGCUUCUGUUCUCUGUUUGUUUUCUCCAUUACAUAUGUGGCCUAGUAUCCUAGUUACUAUGGGCGAUCCACUUAUGUCCUGCUGUUUUGGUUUCAGGUGCUUCUUUGUAACAGCAGCUCUGAACAACAAGAUUUAUGUUACUGGAGGACUUGGACUGACAGACAAAUCACCUAAUUCUUGGGACAUCUACGACAAAGCCACGGACUCCUGGUUCUCGCAUAAGAACCCGAUGCUCACUCCUGACAUCGUCAAAUUUGUCGCAUUGGAUGAUGAGCUGGUGACCAUCCACAAGGCGUCCUGGAACAGGAUGUACUUUGCGGGUAUAUACGACCCGGUCGACCAGUCCUGGAGGGGCAAGGAGAAUGAGAUUGCCCUGUGCUGGUCUGGCCCGACGGUCGUCGUUGACGGGACGCUCUACAUGCUCGACCAGUCCCUCGGCACCAAGCUGAUGAUGUGGAUUAACGAGACCAAGGAGUGGGUGAUGGUUGGCAGGCUGUCGGACAAGCUUACACGCCCACCCUGCGAGCUUGUGGCCAUCGGCAGGAAGAUCUAUGUGAUCGGCAAGGGGCUGAGCACGGUGACCAUCGACAUGGACAUGGCAGCCAGGGUGGACGGGUUCCUCGUCUCCUCGUCAACCGGGCCGCUGAUGGAGCACGACUUCUCGCCGGAGAAGUGCAGUGUCAUCACCAUCUGAAGACCGCCACCUGCUGGGUUGCUUGUACCGUGAACUGAAAUAGCUCUGGACGUUUUGGCUUUUCUUGUGGCUGUAUAUCGACUUCUGUAUUUUGGUGGGAUGGCUGUACAUCGAUUGACUUUUAACUGUAACAUGAGGGAAGAAAAGCACAGUUUGUUUAUUCCUCGGUGAGUCGAGUGAAUAAAUUCUGAUUGUAAAACUGAAACAAUGUGGAAAAGUCCAGGUGUGCGCCCUGUCUGUUUCAGUAUGGAUCCCCCCCAGCAUGAGAGUAAAACUGAAUGUUGUAGCUUCACUACCCAUCAUGGCCCGGCACAGUGCCAGAGAACCAAUGUUCAUCAAAGUUCUAAAAAAUUCCCAACGCAUUUCAUUCCCCGGGAAAUUGCACUAUUUGACCUGUAUAACACUAUCAUGCUCAUUGUUGCCCUCACGUGACCCUUCGGCAACUAAACGUGAUUCUGCUAUACAAGGUAGUGUAAGACCUUCUAGAGAUUAUAAGACAGAUCCCACUAUGUCCAUUCACAGCCCUUUCCUUUCUUUUCUUGACGUAAAAAGGUAAUCAAUCCUUUCUUUUCAAGAUUCUUGCGUGAAGCCAUCCUUUCUGCACGUUGCUGAAUAGGCAUGCCAUCCUUCGGGAUCCUAUCCUAGCACUUGUCCUCGUUGCUUUGCAUCAUUUCCUCCAUUUCUCGGAACUUAUCGCGGAAUCUCACUUUUGAACUUAGGGAAACAGUGAAAGAAGCCCUCGUUCCUGCUCUUCUUUCCCCCGACUUACCCUUAGAAGGAAAGUAGGGGCCUCGGUUUCUGCAGAGAAACCCCUUGUGGCGGCUACUCAUAAGAAGAUGAAGGCCGAAUAUCUCCUAUGUGCUUAACACAUUGAAGUCGGCGGCUAAGCUUUCUUUCUAAUGGUAAGCCGGGGAUGUAAUUGCUCAAGAACUGUUGACGCUUUGUGGUGCCCAUCUACGGUUUAAGCAACCCAAAAGUAUUGCAACAAAUAAGGCCAAAGUAACGAUUGCGAAUUGGAACAACCGAGAAAUAAAACUCUUGUUUUUUAUGAGAAAGUAGGAGAAUAUCCUACUAUAUAUUAUCCUACUAUAUAUUAUCCUACUAUAUAUUAUUAAAAAAAUAUGUAAAGAAAACGUACUAGUAUUGCUUGAUUUCCAUCGCGGUAAAGAAAUAAAAUAUAUGUUCUACCCAACCCUGUUUGUAAGAACAUCUACAACUGGACUAUCGAAAUCCGCCCCCUAAACAUCCACAGACGCGCUCGCGCACCACUCCGGACAGUGUCGGACGACCCUUCAGAAGGCUUACCGAACAACCACACUCCUCAUAUCAAAACCCCCAAAUUCAUGCAAAUCCAUGCACUUCAAUCAUAUAGCACAAAUUCAUCUAUUCAACAAUGCAACAAAGCAAAAUGAACCGCAAUUCGUAUUUGUGACAUUUGUGGAAGUGCCGAAGAAAAUGAGUACCAUGUGGUGGUCUCAUGUACAAAAAGCAAAGCCCUCCCACAAGCUAUGCGAGCGCAGCGGAACAUUUCCGAAAAGGGAAGGCCUUUUGGCACACUGGGAAAUAUUGAUUUCAAGUACUCCUCAGCAUAUGUGAUGAAUAAACGAUUGCAAAAAUUCUGCUCCUCCUAUGGAGAGCAUGGUUUCUUCGAGACAACAUAUAACACAGCGAUGGCGAAGAAUCGAUCUCGGGUUCAGUGUCGUUCUUGGUCAGGUAUAUGGAGGAAAUCAGCCAUGCCCAGGUGCGAACGGAAAACGAGAAAAGUAGCUGCUGCAGUAAUCUUUCGAAAUACUUUAACGCCGUUGUGCAGGUGGAACUGGACUGCCUAUUAUUGCUGAUAUUCGUGCUUCACUAAGCUUGUCCAGGUCUGUUCAGUUUGGUUAGGUGAGAAGGGAUCAGAACAUGUUGGCACACAUGCUCGCUGCCAUGGCAACAAGUCAAGACGAUUUCUUCUUGCUGGCGGCUCUCCCACCUGAGCUUAGCGAUAUUAUGUUCUGUGAUUGCAAGCUUGUUGCAUGACAGCGGUGAUUGCUUUGAUCCUCAAAACAAAAUGAAAAACAAUUCAAACAUGCCAAAAUGAAAUUUAACGUGUGUGCGUUGUCCGGCCAAGAUGCUGGAUCACUCGACAGUCGCUAUCUGGGUCAUGCCCGCGACUGCUGUGGCCGCUCUCGCCCCCUCGUACUCCCUAUGCAGGUUGAUCUGAAUGAUAAGAAGCUUUGAAUGACAUGAUUUAUGUUACGAUGGGAUUGGAUUAACACACAAAUCACCUAAUUCUUAGGACAUCUAUGACAAAGCCACAGACUCUUGGUGCUCCCACAAGAACCUGAUGCUCACCCCUGACAUUGUCAAAUUCAUGGCAUUGGAUAAUGAGCUGGUGAUAAUCCACAAGGCGUCCUAGAACAAAAUGUACUUUACGGGUAUAUACGACCCGGUCGGCCAGUAUUGGAGGGGCAAAGAGAAUGGGAUUGCCCUAUGCUGGCCUGGCUCGAUGGUCGUUGUUGAUGGAACGCUCUACAUGAUCGACCAGUCUCUCGACACCAAGCUGAUGAUGUGUUGAACAAGACCAAGGAGUGGGUGAUGGUUGGCAGACUGUCGGACAAGCUCACACGCCCGCCUUGUGAGCUUGUGGCCAUUGGCUGGAAGAUCUAUGCGAUCGGCCCGGGGCUGAGCACAGUAUCGACAUGGACACGACAGCUAGGGUGACAGGUUCCUUGUGUCCUCGUAGACGGAUCCGCUGAUGGAGCAUGACUUCCCACAUGAGAAAUGUAGGGUCUUUACCAUUUGAAGACCACUUACUACCUUGGUUGCUUGUACUGCAAACUAAAAUAAUAGUGGACAUUUUACUUUUCUUCUGGCUGUAUAUCGACUUGUGUAUUUUGGUGACAUGGAUGUACAUUGAUUGAUCUUUAACUUUAAACAUGAGGUAAGGAAAGCUCAGGUUGUUUAUUCUUCGACCAGUCCCUCGGUUGUUGGUUAUUUUUGUUUGUAGUUUUUGAAUGUGAAUAAGUUCUGAUCGUAACAGGUUUUCGCUAUGUCUACAAUUUUUGCCCUGUCCUCGACACGUCGAGGUGAAAACUGAAACAAUGUCAACAUUAAGUGGGUGUGGUAUGGAUUGUCCCCCCUCCCCCCCACAAAAGAGUAAUUGCUGGAAGUUACAACAGUUGACAAACACAGCUUGCCUAGCAAUAGGUAGGGCUCCAUAUGCCCACCACAGCCGGGCACACUGGAAGCCAUUGGAAGAAACAGGAUAGAGCGGAACAACUGGUGGAGGUGAGAAGAACAAUCACGGUAAGCAUCUUAAGGAAGUAAUGCCCAAGAUGCCCCCUUUGGCUUGCUCCGUUCCAUGGCACCACUCUGGUGAGUAAUCAUGGUAACUUUAGAAGAAUAGGACUCCAGAGAUGCUAGGUUUGUCAAAGUUCCAAUCAAAUUCCCAACCCAUCUCAUUCCCCGGGAAAUUGCACUAUUUGACUUUUGACACUCAUCAUGCUCAUCAUUGUUGCCCUCCUCACACACUUCAUUCUUUCUCCCUCUAGCAACUAAAUGUGAUUCUUACAUACAAGUAAGAUAGUACUACCUCCAUUCCAAAAUAAAUGAUGUUUUAGUAGGCUAAACUAGCAUAUCAAAACGUCAUGUACUUUGGAACGGAGGUAGUAGUAGUUAUUUAUAGAAGGUCAGCGCAUGGGCUUGGUGUGUGGCCCAGACAUCACUCCUUCAUCAAAAUUCACAUGUCAAUUGUUGUGGCCAUUUAUUCCAACAGUAGGUGAUGUAAUUGUUCAAGAACUUUGGACGCUUUGUGGUGACCAUCUACGGUUUAAGCAACCCAAAACUGAAUAUUGCAACAAACAGGGACAAAGCAACGAUUGCGAAGUGGAACAACAGAGAAAUACAACUCUUAUUUUUUUAUGAAAAAGUAGGAGAAUAUCCUAUUGUAUAUUAUUAAAAAGGUAUAAGUAUGUAAAGAAAAAUUUAUAGUAUCGCUUGAUUUCCAUCGCGGUACAGAAAUAAAAUGUAUUUUGGUGACAUGGAUGUACAUUGAUUGAUUUUUAACUUUAAACAUGAGGGAAGGAAAGCUCAGGUUGUUUAUUCUUCGACCAGUCCCUCGGUUGUUGGUUAUUUUUGUUUGUAGUUUUUGAAUGUGAAUAAGUUCUGAUCGUAACAGGUUUUCGCUAUGUCUACAAUUUUUGCCCUGUCCUCGACACGUCGAGGUGAAAACUGAAACAAUGUCAACAUUAAGUGGGUGUGGUAUGGAUUGUCCCCCCUCCCCCUCCCCCCCCACAAAAGAGUAAUUGCUGGAAGUUACAACAGUUGACAAACACAGCUUGCCUAGCAAUAGGUAGGGCUCCAUAUGCCCACCACAGCCGGGCACACUGGAAGCCAUUGGAAGAAACAGGAUAGAGCGGAACAACUGGUGGAGGUGAGAAGAACAAUCACGGUAAGCAUCUUAAGGAAGUAAUGCCCAAGAUGCCCCCUUUGGCUUGCUCCGUUCCAUGGCACCACGGUGAGUAAUCAUGGUAACUUUAGAAGAAUAGGACUCCAGAGAUGCUAGGUUUGUCAAAGUUCCAAUCAAAUUCCCAACCCAUCUCAUUCCCCGGGAAAUUGCACUAUUUGACUUUUGACACUCAUCAUGCUCAUCAUUGUUGCCCUCCUCACACACUUCAUUCUUUCUCCCUCUAGCAACUAAAUGUGAUUCUUACAUACAAGUAAGAUAGUACUACCUCCAUUCCAAAAUAAAUGAUGUUUUAGUAGGCUAAACUAGCAUACCAAAACGUCAUGUACUUUGGAACGGAGGUAGUAGUAGUUAUUUAUAGAAGGUCAGCGCAUGGGCUUGGUGUGUGGCCCAGACAUCACUCCUUCAUCAAAAUUCACAUGUCAAUUGUUGUGGCCAUUUAUUCCAACAGUAGGUGAUGUAAUUGUUCAAGAACUUUGGACACUUUAUGGUGACCAUCUACGGUUUAAGCAACCCAAAACUGAAUAUUGCAACAAACAGGGACAAAGCAACGAUUGCGAAGUGGAACAACAGAGAAAUACAACUCUUAUUUUUUUAUGAAAAAGUAGGAGAAUAUCCUAUUGUAUAUUAUUAAAAAGUUAUAAGUAUGUAAAGAAAAACUUAAAGUAUCACUUGAUUUCCGUCACGGUACAGAAAUAAAAUGUAUGUGCUAACCAUGUUUGUAAGAGCAUCUACAGCCGGACUACAGAAAUCCGCCCCCUAAACAUCCGCAGAGCCGCCCGGGCAAGACUCAGGACAACGUUGGACGCCCCCUCAAAAGUCUUACCGACGAAUCACACUCACAUCAAAAUCCUCAAAUUCAUGCAGAUCCAUGCACGUCAAUCAUAUAGCACAAAUUGAUCACCAAUUCAACAAUGCAACAAAGCAAGGCAAACCACAAUUCAACUACUCAAGCAUGCCAAAAUGAAAUUCGGCGUCUAGCCAACAUGAUGAAUCACUCGAUUGUCGCCAUAUGGGUCACGCCUGUGAUAGCCGUGGUCGCUCUUUGAAGGAAAUAUGCCCUAGAGGCAAUAAUAAAGUUAUUAUUUAUUUCCUUAUAUCAUGAUAAAUGUUUAUUAUUCAUGCUAGAAUUGUAUUAACCGGAAACAUAAUACAUGUGUGAAUACAUAAACCAACAGAGUGUCACUAGUAUGCCUCUACUUGACUAGCUCGUUAAUCAAAGAUGGUUAUGUUUCCUAACCAUGAACAAAGAGUUGUUAUUUGAUUAACGGGGUCACAUCAUUAGUUGAAUGAUCUGAUUGACAUGACCCAUUCCAUUAGCUUAGCACCCGAUCGUUUAGUAUGUUGCUAUUGCUUUCUUCAUGACUUAUACAUGUUCCUAUAACUAUGAGAUUAUGCAACUCCCGUUUACCGGAGGAACACUUUGGGUACUACCAAACGUCACAACGUAACUGGGUGAUUAUAAAGGAGUACUACAGGUGUCUCCAAUGGUAGAUGUUGGGUUGGCGUAUUUCGAGAUUAGGGUUUGUCACUCCGAUUGUCGGAGAGGUAUCUCUGGGCCCUCUCGGUAAUACACAUCACAUAAGCCUUGCAAGCAUAAUAACUAAGAUGUUAGUUAUGAGAUGAUGUAUUACGGAACGAGUAAAGAGACUUGCUAGCAACGAGAUUGAACUAGGUAUUGGAUACCGAUGAUCGAAUCUCGGGCAAGUAACAUACCGAUGACAAAGGGAACAACGUAUGUUGUUAUGCGUUCUGACCGAUAAAGAUCUUCGUAGAAUAUGUAGGAGCCAAUAUGGGCAUCCAGGUCCCGCUAUUGGUUAUUGACCGGAGACGUGUCUCGGUCAUGUCUACAUUGUUCUCGAACCGUAGGGUCCGCACGCUUAACGUUACGAUGACAGUUAUUAUGAGUUUAUGCAUUUUGAUGUACCGAAGGUUGUUCGGAGUCCCGGAUGUGAUCACGGACAUGACGAGGAGUCUCGAAAUGGUCGAGACAUAAAGAUUGAUAUAUUGGAAGCCUAUGUUUGGACACCGGAAGUGUUCCGGGUGAAAUCGGGAUUUUACCGGACUACCGGGAGGGUUACCGGAACCCCCCGGGAGCCAAAUGGGCCAACAUGGGCCUUAGUGGAAAGGUGAGAGGGCAGCCCACAUAGGGCUGCGCCUCCCCCCUCUCCCUAGUCCUAUUAGGACUAGGAGAGGGGCCGGCCACCUCUCUCUUUCACUUCCCUCUUGAGGAAACCUAGUUGGACUAGGAUUGGAGGGGGGAGUCCUACUCCUACCGGGAGUAGGACUCCCCCUGCGCCUCCCACCUUGGCCGGCCAGCUCCUCCUCCUCCAUCCUUUAUAUACGGGGGCAGGGGACACCCCAAGACACACAAGUUGAUCCUUGAGAUCGUUCCUUAGCCGUGUGCGGUGCCCCCUGCCACCAAAUUCCACCUCGAUCAUACCGUUACAGUGCUUAGGCGAAGCCCUGCGUCGGUAGUACAUCAAGAUCGUCACCACGCCGUCGUGCUGACAGAACUCUUCCUCGACGCUUUGCUGGAUCGGAGCCCGAGGAUCGUCAUCGAGCUGAACGUGUGCUAAGAACUCGGAGGUGCCGGAGUAACGGUGCUUGGAUCGGUCGGAUCGGGAAGAAGACAUACGACUACUUCCUCUACGUUGUGUGAUCGCUUCCACAGUCGGUCUGCGUUGGUACGUAGACAACACUCUCCCCCUCGUUGCUAUGCAUCACCAUGAUCUUGCGUGUGCGUAGGAAAAUUUUCGAAAUUACUACGUUCCCCAACAGUGGCAUCCGAGCCUAGGUUUUAUGGUUUGAUGUUAUUUGCACGAGUAGAACACAAGUGAGUUGUGGGCGAUACAAGUCAUACUGCCUACCAGCAUGUCAUACUUUGGUUCGGCGGUAUUGUUGGACGAGACGAUCCCGACCAACCUUACGCGUACUCUUACGCGAGACCGGUUCCCUCGACGUGCUUUGCACAUAGAUGGCUUGCGGAAGACUGUCUCUCCAACUUUAGUUGAACCAAGUGUGACUACGCCCGGUCCUUGAGAAGGUUAAAACGGAGUCUAUUUGAUGAACUAUCGUUGUGGUUUUGAUGCGUAGGUGAGAUGAGUUCUUACUUAAGCCCGUAGCAGCCACGUAAAACUUGCAACAACAAAGUAGAGGACGUCUAACUUGUUUUUGCAGGGCAUGUUGUGAUGUGAUAUGGUCAAGGCAUGAUGCUGAUUUUAUUGUAUGAGAUAAUCAUGUUUUGUAACCGAGUUAUCGGCAACUGGCAGGAGCCAUAUGGUUGUCGCUUUAUUGUAUGCAAUGCAAUCGCGAUGUAAUGCUUUACUUUAUUACUAAGAGGUAGUGAUAGUCGUGGAAGCAUAAGAUUGGCGAGACGACAACGAUGCUACGAUGGAGAUCAAGGUGUCGCGCCGGUGACGAUGGUGAUCAUGACGGUGCUUCGAAGAUGGAGAUCACAAGCACAAGAUGAUGAUGGCCAUAUCAUAUCACUUAUAUUAAUUGCAUGUGAUGUUUAUCCUUUUAUGCAUCUUAUCUUGCUUUGAUUAACGGUAGCAUUAUAAGAUGAUCUCUCACUAAAUUAUCAAGAAGUGUUCUCCCUGAGUAUGCACCGUUGCCAAAGUUCGUCGUGCCCAGACACCACGUGAUGAUCGGGUGUGAUAAGCUCUACGUCCAUCUACAACGGGUGCAAGCCAGUUUUGCACACGCAGAAUACUCAGGUUAAACUUGACGAGCCUAGCAUAUGCAGAUAUGGCCUCGGAACACAGAGACCGAAAGGUCGAGCGUGAAUCAUAUAGUAGAUAUGAUCAACAUGACGAUGUUCACCAUUGAAAACUACUCCAUCUCACGUGAUGAUCGGUUAUGGUUUAGUUGAUUUGGAUCACGUGAUCACUUAGAGGAUUAGAGGGAUGUCUAUCUAAGUGGGAGUUCCUAAGAAAUUUGAUUAACUGAACUUAAACUUAUCAUGAACUUAGUACCUGAUAGUAUCUUGCUUGUUUAUGUUGAUUGUAGAUAGAUGGCUCGUGCUGUUGUUCCGUUGAAUUUUAAUGCGUUCCUUGAGAAAGCAAAGUUGAAAGAUGAUGGUAGCAAUUACACGGACUGGGUCCGUAACCUGAGGAUCAUCCUCAUUGCUGCACAGAAGAAUUACGUCCUGGAAGCACCGCUGGGUGCCAGGCCUGCUGCUGGAGCAACGCCAGAUGUUAUGAACGUCUGGCAGAGCAAAGCUGAUGACUACUCGAUAGUUCAGUGUGCCAUGCUUUACGGCUUAGAAUCGGGACUUCAACGACGUUUUGAACGUCAUGGAGCAUAUGAGAUGUUCCAGGAGUUGAAGUUAAUAUUUCAAGCAAAUGCCCGAAUUGAGAGAUAUGAAGUCUCCAAUAAGUUCUAUAGCUGCAAGAUGGAGGAGAACAGUUCUGUCAGUGAGCACAUACUCAAAAUGUCUGGGUAUAAUAAUCACUUGAUUCAGAUGGGAGUUAAUCUUCCAGAUGAUUGUGUCAUUGACAGAAUUCUCCAAUCACUGCCACCAAGCUACAAGAGCUUCGUGAUGAACUAUAAUAUGCAAGGGAUGAACAAGACUAUUCCCGAGAUCUUCGCAAUGCUGAAAGCUACGGAGGUAGAAAUCAAAAAGGAGCAUCAAGUGUUGAUGGUUAGCAAAACCACUAGUUUCAAAAAAAAGGGCAAAGGGAAGAAGAAGGGAAACUUCAAGAAGAACAGCAAGCAAGUUGCUGCUCAGGAGAAGAAACCCAAGUCUGGACCUAAGCCUGAAACUGAGUGCUUCUACUGCAAGCAGACUGGUCACUAGAAGCGGAACUGCCCCAAGUAUUUGGCGGAUAAGAAGGAUGGCAAGGUGAACAAAGGUAUAUGUGAUAUACAUGUUAUUGAUGUGUUCCUUACUAGAGCUCGCAGUAGCACCUGGGUAUUUGAUACUGUUUCUGUUGCUAAUAUUUGCAACUCGAAACAGGGACUACGGAAUAAGCGUACGCUAGCAAAGGACGAGGUGACGAUGCGCGUGGGAAACGGUUCCAAAGUCGAUGUGAUCGCGGUCGGCACGCUACCUCUACAUCUACCUUCAGGAUUAAUAUUAGACCUAAAUAAUUGUUAUUUGGUGCCAACGUUGAGCAUGAACAUUAUAUCUGGAUCUUGUUUGAUGCGAGACGGUUAUUCAUUUAAAUCAGAGAAUAAUGGUUGUUCUAUUUAUAUGAGUAAUAUCUUUUAUGGUCAUGCACCCUUGAAGAGUGGUCUAUUCUUAUUGAAUCUCGAUAGUAGUGAUACACAUAUUCAUAAUGUAGAAGUCAAAAGAUGUAGAGUUGAUAAUGAUAGUGCAACUUAUUUGUGGCACUGCCGUUUAGGUCAUAUCGGUAUAAAGUGCAUGAAGAAACUCCAUACUGAUGGGCUUUUGGAACCACUUGAUUAUGAAUCACUUGGUACUUGCGAACCGUGCCUCAUAGGCAAGAUGACUAAAACACCGUUCUCCGGUACUAUGGAGAGAUCAACAAAUUUAUUGGAAAUCAUACAUACCGAUGUAUGUGGUCCGAUGAAUAUUGAGGCUCGUGGCGGAUAUCGUUAUUUUCUCACCUUCACAGAUGAUUUAAGCAGAUAUGGGUAUAUCUACUUAAUGAAACAUAAGUCUGAAACAUUUGAAAAGUUUAAGGAAUUUCAGAGUGAAGUUGAAAAUCAUCGUAACAAGAAAAUAAAGUUUCUACGAUCUGAUCGUGGAGGAGAAUAUUUGAGUUACGAGUUUGGUAUACAUUUGAAAAAUUGUGGAAUAGUUUCGCAACUCACGCCACCCGGAACACCACAGCGUAAUGGUGUGUCCGAACGUCGUAAUCGUACUUUACUAGAUAUGGUGCGAUCUAUGAUGUCUCUUACUGAUUUACCGCUAUCGUUUUGGGGUUAUGCUUUAAAGACGGCCGCAUUCACGUUAAAUAGGGCACCAUCAAAAUCCGUUGAGACGACGCCUUAUGAACUAUGGUUUGGCAAGAAACCAAAGUUGUCGUUUCUUAAAGUUUGGGGCUGCGAUGCUUAUGUGAAAAAGUUUCAACCUGAUAAGCUCGAACCCAAAGCGGAGAAAUGUGUCUUCAUAGGAUACCCAAAGGAAACUGUUGGGUAUACCUUCUAUCACAGAUCCGAAGGCAAGACAUUCGUUGCUAAGAAUGGAUCAUUUCUAGAGAAGGAGUUUCUCUCGAAAGAAGUGAGUGGGAGGAAAGUAGAACUUGACGAGGUAACUGUACCUGCUCCCUUAUUGGAAAAUAGUACAUCACAGAAAACUGUUUCUGCGACACCUAUACCAAUUAGUGAGGAAGCUAAUGAUGAUGAUCAUGAAGCUUCAGGACAAGAUACUACUGAACCACGUAGAUCAACCAGAGUGAGAUCCGCACCAGAGUGGUACGGUAAUCCAGUUCUGGAAGUCAUGCUACUAGAUCAUGAUGAACCUACAAACUAUGAAGAAGCGAUGGUGAGCCCAGAUUCCGCAAAGUGGCUUGAGGCCAUGAAAUCUGAGAUGGGAUCCAUGUAUGAGAACAGAGUAUGGACUUUGGUUGACUUGCCCGAUGAUCGGCAAGCAAUUGAGAAUAAAUGGAUCUUCAAGAAAAAGACUGACGCUGACGGUAAUAUUACUGUUUAUAAAGCUCGACUUGUCGCAAAAGGUUUUCGACAAGUUCAAGGGGUUGACUACGAUGAGACCUUCUCACCCGUAGCGAUGCUUAAGUCUGUCAGAAUUAUGUUAGCAAUUGCUGCGUUUUAUGAUUAUGAAAUAUGGCAAAUGGAUGUCAAAACUGCAUUCCUGAAUGGAUUUCUGGAAGAAGAGUUGUAUAUGAUGCAACCAGAAGGUUUUGUCGAUCCGAAGGGAGCUAACAAAGUGUGCAAACUCCAGCGAUCUAUUUAUGGACUGGUGCAAGCAUCUCGGAGUUGGAAUAAACGCUUUGAUGGUGUGAUCAAAGCAUUUGGCUUUAUACAGACUUUUGGAGAAGCCUGUAUUUACAAGAAAGUGAGUGGGAGCUCUGUAGCAUUUCUAAUAUUAUAUGUGGAUGACAUAUUGCUGAUUGGAAAUGAUAUAGAAUUUCUGGAUAGCAUAAAGGGAUACUUGAAUAAAAGUUUUUCGAUGAAAGACCUCGGGGAAGCUGCUUACAUAUUAGGCAUAAAAAUCUAUAGAGAUAGAUCAAAACGCUUAAUUGGACUUUCACAAAGCACAUACCUUGACAAGAUUUUGAAGAAGUUCAAAAUGGAUCAAGCAAAGAAAGGGUUCUUGCCUGUGUUACAAGGUGUGAAGUUGAGUCAGACUCAAUGCCCGACCAAUGCAGAAGAUAGAGAGAAAAUGAAAGAUGUUCCCUAUGCUUCAGCCAUAGGCUCUAUCAUGUAUGCAAUGCUGUGUACCAGACCUGAUGUGUGCCUUGCUAUAAGUUUAGCAGGGAGGUACCAAAGUAAUCCAGGAGUGGAUCACUGGACAGCGGUCAAGAACAUCCUGAAAUACCUGAAAAGGACUAGGGAUAUGUUUCUCGUAUAUGGAGGUGACAAAGAGCUCACCGUAAGAGGUUACGUUGAUGCAAGCUUUGACACUGAUCCGGACGAUUCUAAAUCGCAAACCGGAUACGUGUUUACUUUAAACGGUGGAGCUGUCAGUUGGUGCAGUUCUAAACAAAGCGUCGUAGCGGGAUCUACAUGUGAAGCGGAGUACAUAGCAGCUUCGGAAGCAGCAAACGAAGGAGUCUGGAUGAAGGAGUUCAUAUCCAAUCUAGGUGUCAUACCUAGUGCAUCGGGUCCAAUGAAAAUCUUCUGUGACAAUACUGGUGCAAUUGCCUUGGCAAAGGAAUCCAGAUUUCACAAAAGAACCAAACACAUCAAGAGACGCUUCAACUCCAUCCGGGAUUUAGUCCAGGUGGGAGACAUAGAGAUUUGCAAGAUACAUACGGAUCUGAAUGUUGUAGACCCGUUGAUCAAGCCUCUUCCACGAGCAAAACAUGAUCAGCACCAAGGCUCCAUGGGUGUUAGAAUCAUUACUGUGUAAUCUAGAUUAUUGACUCUAGUGCAAGUGGGAGACUGAAGGAAAUAUGCCCUAGAGGCAAUAAUAAAGUUAUUAUUUAUUUCCUUAUAUCAUGAUAAAUGUUUAUUAUUCAUGCUAGAAUUGUAUUAACCGGAAACAUAAUACAUGUGUGAAUACAUAAACCAACAGAGUGUCACUAGUAUGCCUCUACUUGACUAGCUCGUUAAUCAAAGAUGGUUAUGUUUCCUAACCAUGAACAAAGAGUUGUUAUUUGAUUAACGGGGUCACAUCAUUAGUUGAAUGAUCUGAUUGACAUGACCCAUUCCAUUAGCUUAGCACCCGAUCGUUUAGUAUGUUGCUAUUGCUUUCUUCAUGACUUAUACAUGUUCCUAUAACUAUGAGAUUAUGCAACUCCCGUUUACCGGAGGAACACUUUGGGUACUACCAAACGUCACAACGUAACUGGGUGAUUAUAAAGGAGUACUACAGGUGUCUCCAAUGGUAGAUGUUGGGUUGGCGUAUUUCGAGAUUAGGGUUUGUCACUCCGAUUGUCGGAGAGGUAUCUCUGGGCCCUCUCGGUAAUACACAUCACAUAAGCCUUGCAAGCAUAAUAACUAAGAUGUUAGUUAUGAGAUGAUGUAUUACGGAACGAGUAAAGAGACUUGCUAGCAACGAGAUUGAACUAGGUAUUGGAUACCGACGAUCGAAUCUCGGGCAAGUAACAUACCGAUGACAAAGGGAACAACGUAUGUUGUUAUGCGGUCUGACCGAUAAAGAUCUUCGCAGAAUAUGUAGGAGCCAAUAUGGGCAUCCAGGUCCCGCUAUUGGUUAUUGACCGGAGACGUGUCUCGGUCAUGUCUACAUUGUUCUCAAACCGUAGGGUCCGCACGCUUAACGUUACGAUGACAGUUAUUAUGAGUUUAUGCAUUUUGAUGUACCGAAGGUUGUUCGGAGUCCCGGAUGUGAUCACGGACAUGACGAGGAGUCUCGAAAUGGUCGAGACAUAAAGAUUGAUAUAUUGGAAGCCUAUGUUUGGACACCGGAAGUGUUCCGGAUGAAAUCGGGAUUUUACCGGACUACCGGGAGGGUUACCGGAACCCCCCGGGAGCCAAAUGGGCCAACAUGGGCCUUAGUGGAAAGGUGAGAGGGCAGCCCACAUAGGGCUGCGCCUCCCCCCCUCUCCCUAGUCCUAUUAGGACUAGGAGAGGGGCCGGCCACCUCUCUCUUUCACUUCCCUCUUGAGGAAACCUAGUUGGACUAGGAUUGGAGGGGGGAGUCCUACUCCCGGUAGGAGUAGGACUCCCCCUGCGCCUCCCACCUUGGCCGGCCAGCUCCUCCUCCUCCAUCCUUUAUAUACGGGGGCAGGGGACACCCCAAGACACACAAGCUGAUCCUUGAGAUCGUUCCUUAGCCGUGUGCGGUGCCCCCUGCCACCAAAUUCCACCUCGAUCAUACCGUUACAGUGCUUAGGCGAAGCCCUGCGUCGGUAGUACAUCAAGAUCGUCACCACGCCGUCGUGCUGACGGAACUCUUCCUCGACGCUUUGCUGGAUCGGAGCCCGAGGAUCGUCAUCGAGCUGAACGUGUGCUAAGAACUCGGAGGUGCCGGAGUAACGGUGCUUGGAUCGGUCGGAUCGGGAAGAAGACGUACGACCACUUCCUCUACGUUGUGUGAUCGCUUCCGCAGUCGGUCUGCGUUGGUACGUAGACAACACUCUCCCCCUCGUUGCUAUGCAUCACCAUGAUCUUGCGUGUGCGUAGGAAAUUUUUCGAAAUUACUACGUUCCCCAACACUCUUGCGCCCUCAUACUCUCUAUGCAGGUUGGUCUCGAUGACAAGUAGCUUUGAAUGACAAGAUUUGUGUUAUGGGUGGGAUUUGAUUAAUGUACAAAUCACCUAAUUCUUGGGACAUCUAUGGCAAAGCCACAGACUAUUAGUGCUCCCACAAGAACCCGAUGCCCACCCCUGACAUCGUCAAAUUCAUGGCGUUCGUGAUGAGCUGGUGACCACCCAUAAGGCAUGCCGGAAUAGGAUGUACUUGCCGGGUAUAUACCACAUUGUUGACCAGUCCUGGAGGGGCAAAGAGAAUGAGAUUGCCCUAUGCCGGUCUGGCCCGACGGUCGUUGUGGACCGGAUGCUCUGCAUGCUUGAUCAGUCCCUCGGCACCCAGCUGAUGAUAUAGCUGAAUGAGACUAAGGAGUUGGUGAUGGUUGGCAGGCUAUUGGACAAGCCGCGCCCACCCUGUGAGCUCGUGGCUGUCAGCAGGAAGAUCUACGUGAUCGGCCGCGGGCUGAGCAUAGUGACCAUCGACAUGGACAUGGUGGCCAGGGUGGGCGGGUUCCUUGUAUCCUCAUCGACGGGCCUACUGAUGGAGCAUGACUUCUUGCUCGAGAAAUGCAGGGUCAUCACCAUCUGAAGACUGCCACUAGCUGGGUUGCUUGUACCGUGAACUGAAAUAACAUUGGACAUUUAUUUUCUUUUCUUAUGGCUGUAUAUUGACUUGUAUUUUGGUGAGAUGGAUGUACAUUGACUUUUAAGUGUUAACAUGUUGAAAGGAAAUAUCAUUUAUUCCUUGAUUUGAAUGUAAAUAAAUUAUGUCCAUAACAUAUAUUCUGAUCGUAACUGAAACAAUGUCAUCAUUCGGUGUAUAGAAUGGANNNNNNNNNNNNNNNNNNNNNNNNNNNNNNNNNNNNNNNNNNNNNNNNNNNNNNNNNNNNNNNNNNNNNNNNNNNNNNNNNNNNNNNNNNNNNNNNNNNNNNNNNNNNNNNNNNNNNNNNNNNNNNNNNNNNNNNNNNNNNNNNNNNNNNNNNNNNNNNNNNNNNNNNNNNNNNNNNNNNNNNNNNNNNNNNNNNNNNNNNNNNNNNNNNNNNNNNNNNNNNNNNNNNNNNNNNNNNNNNNNNNNNNNNNNNNNNNNNNNNNNNNNNNNNNNNNNNNNNNNNNNNNNNNNNNNNNNNNNNNNNNNNNNNNNNNNNNNNNNNNNNNNNNNNNNNNNNNNNNNNNNNNNNNNNNNNNNNNNNNNNNNNNNNNNNNNNNNNNNNNNNNNNNNNNNNNNNNNNNNNNNNNNNNNNNNNNNNNNNNNNNNNNNNNNNNNNNNNNNNNNNNNNNNNNNNNNNNNNNNNNNNNNNNNNNNNNNNNNNNNNNNNNNNNNNNNNNNNNNNNNNNNNNNNNNNNNNNNNNNNNNNNNNNNNNNNNNNNNNNNNNNNNNNNNNNNNNNNNNNAGUAAAGCUGAAUGUUGCAACAGUUCACAAAUAUAUUUCACCAUCCAGGCACACUGGAAGAGUUGGACAGGAAGAUUCACUAUGUAUUGAGUUACAGGACCUUUACACAUAUAUGCGCCAACCCUACAAUGUAGGCACGCAGGCAUGGGCUACAAUGUAGAAACUAGGAUGGUUACAACAAUAUGUGGGACAUGCCCAACGUGACAUAUACAUGCGCUAAUAGUAAGAGAAGAAUCACUGGUGGAGGCGAGGUAACACUCACCGUAAGCAUCUUUGAGGAAGUAAUGCUAAAGACACUCAUGUGGCUUGCUCAGUUCCAUCGUGCCACUCCGGUGAGUAAUCAUGGUAACGCUAAAAGAGAACUCCAAGGAUACUUGGUUUGUCAAAGUUCCAAUCAAAUUCCCAACGUAUCUCAUUCGGUGGGAAAUUGCACUAUCUGACUGGUGACACACUCAUCAUGAUCAUCACUGUUGACCUCCUCAUACACUUGGUCAUGCUUUCUCCCUCUAGCAACUAAAUGUGAUUCUGCUAUACAAGUAGUAGUUAUUUAUAGAAAGUCGGCGAAUGGACAUGGUGUGUGUGGCCCAGGCAAAUUUCCUUCACCAAACUUUACAUGGCGGUUGUUGUGGACAUUCAUUUCUACCCCUUGUGACAUUUGUUCCCACAACAUGUGAUGCAAGUGUUGAAGAACUGUUGACGCUUUGUGGUGCCAAUCUACAGUUUAAGCAACCCAAAACUGAAUAUUGCAACAAACAAGGACAAAGCAACGAUAGCGAAGUAGGAGAAUAUCCUAUUGUACAUAUUAUAAAAACAAACAAGGACAAGAACAACAGGGAAAUAAAACUCUUGUUUUUCUAUUAGAAAGUAGGAGAAUAUCCUAUUGUAUAUAUUAUAAAAAAGUUAGAAGUAUGUAAAGGAAAACUUUUUAAUAUUACUUGAUUUCUAUCAUGGUACAGAAAUAAAAUAUAUGUGCUACCAAACCCUGUUCAUAAGAGCAUCUGCAACCAGACUAUGCAAAUGCGCCCCCUAAACAUCCACAGACGUGCCUGGGCACGACUCCGGACAACAUCGGACGGCCCCUCAAAAGUCCUACCGAACAACCAUACUCCUCAUACCCGAACCCUCAAAAUCCAUGCAAAUCCAUGCACGCCAAUCAUAUAACACAAAUUCAUCACCAAUUUGACAAUGCAACAAAGUAAAAUGAACCACAAUUCAACAAUCAAACAUGUCAAAAUGAAACUCAACGUCCGGGCCGCGUCUGGCCAACAUGAUGAAUCACUUGACAAUCGCCAUCUGGGUCACGUCCACGAAUGCCGUGGCCAAUCUCACCCCUCGUACUACCUACACAGGUUGAUCACCUUCUUCCUCACCUCAGGGCACUUCUUGCCUUGUGGAUCCAAGAGGUUUGCGUCGACUAACAUUAUCCUCGAAUCCUACGUGUCCUGAGCAAGUUGCAACCUCUCCUACAACUUCUUACUCUUCGUCAUCCAAUCCAAUAGAUUGUUGGGAGCUUGAGCCACCAUCUCUCUUCAACCUCUUGUUGUUGUUCUUGAGAUCAUCGACAAGUUGUUGCCAGUUCGGUUUGCCAUUCAAUUUCAACCAACAAUAGCUUAAAUGUGAAUGGCUUCUUCUUGAUUUGUUUGUACGAAAUGGCCGCCAACCCCAUCUAUCAAACAAGAAUUACUCAUGAGAAUGCAACAAACAAAGCUAGCAAUGCAAAUGAUGACAAAACGAACAAUGUCAACUUACAUGACUAGUGACUCCAACCCCCACUUUGAUUCCUGACAAGCACAGAGGAAUAGUGCCAGACAUACUUGUUUACUUUGUCUUGAAUGGUGGACCAUCUAUGUUGGAGAGAUGCCUCAAUGUGGGUGGCAUGGAUAGGGUUCGGCUCCACAUAUUUUUGAUGUUCAUGGUAGUGCUUGUGAAUCUUUUCCUAGUACUUGUUUCCCUUAAGCUUCGUUCCACAUAUAGGGUCCAUAAUCUUGGCUAACCAAGCUUCAACCAAUGAAACAUCCUCAUGGGUUGUAUUGGCAGCUCUGAACGACAAGAUUUAUGUUACUGGAGGACUCGAAUUGACAGACAAGUCACCUAGUUCUGGGGACAUCCACGACAAAGCCACAUACUCCUGGUGCUCCCACAAGAACCCGAUGCUCACCCCUGACAUCUUCAAAUUCGUGGCAUUGGAUGAUGAGUUGGUGACCAUCCACAAGGCAUCCUGGAACAAGCUGUACUUUGCAGGAUUAUAUGACCCCGUCGACCAGUCCUGGAUGGGCAAGGACAAUGAGAUUGUCCUAUGCUGGUCUGGCCCAACGGUCAUUGUCGAGAGGCCGCUCUACAUGCCUUACCAGUCCCUCGGCCGUGGCUGAUGAUGUGACUGGAUGAGACCAAGGAGUGGGUGAUGGUCGAUAGACUGUCGGACAAGCUCACGCACCCGCCCUGCGAGCUCGUCGUCGGCGCUAGGAAGAUCUAUGCGAUCGACCGGGGGCCUGAACACAGUGAUCGUCGACAUGGACACGAUGACUAGGGUGGAGAGGUUCCUGGUGUGCUCGCCGAUGGGCCCGCUGAUGGAGCAUGACUUCCCGCCGGAGAAGUGUGGAGUCAUCACCAUCUGAAAAUCCUUACUAGCUGGGUUUGCUUUGUACUGUGAACUGAAAUAACAGUGGAUAUUUUUCUUUUCCUCUGGUUGUAUAUCGACUUGUGUAUUUUGGUGAAAUGGUUUUACAUCGACUUUUAACUCUUAACAUGUGGAAAGAAAAGGUUGUUUGUUCCUGGGUUGAAUGCGAAUAAAUCCUGAUCGUAGCAGGUUUUUGCUCUAUCCUACUCACAUUAAUUCAUACACUUUUUGCCUGCUUCUCCUGUUCAAAACUGAAACAAUGUCAUCAAUCGGUGGAUAUAAUGGAUUUCCCCCCACAUGAUAGUAAAGGUGAAUGUUGCAACAGUUGACAAACAUAUUAUCACCACAACUGAGCACACUGAAAGAGCCGAACCACUGUUGGAGGCGAGGUAACACUCACGGUAAGCAUCUUUGAUGAAGUAAUGCUCAAGACGCUCAUGUGGCUUGCUCACUUCCAUCCCGCCAGUCUAGAGUAAUCAGGAUAGCGCUAAAAGAGGACUCUAAGGAUACUUGGAUUGUCCAAGUUCCAAUCAAAUUCCCAACGCAACUCAUUCUAUGGGAAAUUGCACUCUUCGCUGGUGACACUCAGCAUGCUCAUCAUUGUUGCCCUCCCCACACACUUGAUCAUGCAUUCUCCCUCCAGCAACUAAACAUGAUACUGCUAAAAGUAAGGUAGUUAUCUAUAGAAGGUGAGACAAACUAAAGGCGAUUUUAGUAUACAAACGUGUUAUGUCAUGGAUUCUCGUGGUAUGUCAAUUGUUUUUCUUAGAUUUUCAAAUAUGAAAAUGAUGAUUUUUGAACGGGAUUGAUUAGAUUAGGGAAUUAAGCGAAUCGAAAAGAAAUGUCAUGGGGUUAUGCGAAAUAGAGUAGAAAUCACCACAGACCGCGAUCCCCUCUGUCAGUUCUCACCGGAAGUUUCUCCGCUCGCCGGCGCCGCCGUCUGCACCAUGCUCCGCCUCCUGAAGUGCAUCCUCACCCAACAGCUCUCUUCUCCCUCCGCCUCCACCAUACCCCCUUUCUUCUCCCUCCGCCUCCUCUCAACCGCGGCGCCCCCCAUUCUUGCAAACCCCGGCGCCGGCGGCUUCGCCGUCCAAGACUACCUCGUCGCCACCUGCGGCCUCACUCGAGCGCGAGCGCUCAAGGCGUCCACCUCAACUCCCCCACCAAACCCGACGCCGUCCUCGCCUUCCUCGCCGGGCUCGGCUUCUCCAGGGCCGACGUCGCCGCCGCCGUGGCAAGGAACCCCAGUUUACUCUGCGCCAAAGUGGAGGGUACCCUCUCCCCCAUCGUCGCCGGGCUCACCGGCCUCGGCCUGUCACACUCCGAGAUCGCGCGCCUCGCCUCGCUCACCGACUACUGCUUCCGCACCAAAUCCGUGGUCGCCAAGCUGCGCUACUACCACCACCUCUUCGGCUCCUCCGACAAGCUCCUCCGGGUGCUCAAGGUCAGCCCCCUCCUUCUCUCCUGCAGCAUCGGGACGGUGGUCCAGCCCAAUGUCGCAUUCCUGCGGGAGUGCGGGGUAGAUGUUCAACAUAUUGCCUCUCUGUGCGUCAAUGUGCCGAGGCUUCUGACCACCAACCCCGAGCGCGUCCGGGCGAUGGCAGCCUGCGCCGAAGGUGUAGGCGUGCCCCGCCGCUCUGGGAUGUUCAGGGAAGCGCUGCAGGCCGCCGUGUUCCUCAGCUAGGAGGAGAUCGCCGCCAAACUGGACUACCUGAAGAACACGUUCAGGUGGUCCGAUGCCGAGGUGCGGAUUGCUCUGUCUGGGUAUCCAUCGUUCCUGAGGAGAUCAAAGGACAUGCUCCUGCGUAAGUCCGAGUUCCUUAUCUCUGAGGUGGGGUUGGAACCGGCCUACAUUGCUCGUCUGCCGGUAAUGCUCUGUCUUAGCCUGGAGGGCCGGCUCAGGCCCAGGUACGAUGUUAUAAUGUUUCUAAUGGCAAAUGGAUUGCUCAAGCGCGUCCCCAAGUACUAUCCAAUCUUCAGGGCAACCGAUAAGGCAUUCUUUGAGGCGUAUAUAUACCCUCAUAAGGAAGCUGCACCGCACCUCGCUGAGUACUAUGCCACAGCUUGCCGAGGGGAAGUGCCCACUGGAUUCACAUUGACAGGAACCAAGAAUGGGCUAUGAAAAUUGGGACUACGUAUGGCACAACCAAAAUUUCUCUCCGUGCGGUAAGGUGCUAAUUCCUGUCAUGGUGUUCUUUGCCUUAGUGGAUGUUGUUUGUCCGCUGUUGGCUGUUAUAUGUCUGUUCGAUACUUGUUUUGUCGUUGCUAAUUCGUGAUGAAACUGAUUAUUUG
rnacentral:lncRNA from 1 species